rnacentral:rRNA from 1 species
GACGAACGCUGGCGGCGUGCUUAACACAUGCAAGUCGAACGGAAAGGCCCUGCUUUUGUGGGGUGCUCGAGUGGCGAACGGGUGAGUAACACGUGAGUAACCUGCCCUUGACUUUGGGAUAACUUCAGGAAACUGGGGCUAAUACCGGAUAGGAGCUCCUGCUGCAUGGUGGGGGUUGGAAAGUUUCGGCGGUUGGGGAUGGACUCGCGGCUUAUCAGCUUGUUGGUGGGGUAAUGGCUUACCAAGGCUUUGACGGGUAGCCGGCCUGAGAGGGUGACCGGCCACAUUGGGACUGAGAUACGGCCCAGACUCCUACGGGAGGCAGCAGUGGGGAAUAUUGCACAAUGGGCGGAAGCCUGAUGCAGCAACGCCGCGUGCGGGAUGACGGCCUUCGGGUUGUAAGCCGCUUUCGCCUGUGACGAAGCGUGAGUGACGGUAAUGGGUAAAGAAGCACCGGCUAACUACGUG